AAUAUUGGUCAAUGGGUGCAAGCCUGAACCAGCCAUCCCGCGUGAAGGACGACUGCCCUAUGGGUUGUAAACUUCUUUUGUAUAGGGAUAAACCUACCCUCGUGAGGGUAGCUGAAGGUACUAUACGAAUAAGCACCGGCUAACUCCGUGCCAGCAGCCGCGGUAAUACGGAGGGUGCAAGCGUUAUCCGGAUUUAUUGGGUUUAAAGGGUCCGUAGGCGGACUUAUAAGUCAGUGGUGAAAGCCUGUCGCUUAACGAUAGAACUGCCAUUGAUACUGUAAGUCUUGAGUAUAUUUGAGGUAGCUGGAAUAAGUAGUGUAGCGGUGAAAUGCAUAGAUAUUACUUAGAACACCAAUUGCGAAGGCAGGUUACCAAGAUAUAACUGACGCUGAGGGACGAAAGCGUGGGGAGCGAACAGG
rnacentral:rRNA from 1 species